rnacentral:rRNA from 1 species
ACUCCUACGGGAGGCAGCAGUGGGGAAUAUUGCACAAUGGGCGCAAGCCUGGUGCAGCAACGCCGCGUGAGGGACGACGGCCUUCGGGUUGUAAACCUCUUUUAGUAGGGAAGAAGCGAAAGUGACGGUACCUGCAGAAAAAGCACCGGCUAACUACGUGCCAGCAGCCGCGGUAAUACGUAGGGUGCAAGCGUUAUCCGGAAUUAUUGGGCGUAAAGAGCUCGUAGGCGGUUUGUCGCGUCUGCUGUGAAAACUGGAGGCUCAACCUCCAGCCUGCAGUGGGUACGGGCAGACUAGAGUGCGGUAGGGGAGAUUGGAAUUCCUGGUGUAGCGGUGGAAUGCGCAGAUAUCAGGAGGAACACCGAUGGCGAAGGCAGAUCUCUGGGCCGUAACUGACGCUGAGGAGCGAAAGCAUGGGGAGCGAACAGGAUUAGAUACCCUGGUAGUCCAUGCCGUAAACGUUGGGAACUAGAUGUAGGGGCCAUUCCACGGUUUCUGUGUCGCAGCUAACGCAUUAAGUUCCCCGCCUGGGGAGUACGGCCGCAAGGCUAAAACUCAAAGGAAUUGACGGGGGCCCGCACAAGCGGCGGAGCAUGCGGAUUAAUUCGAUGCAACGCGAAGAACCUUACCAAGGCUUGACAUAUACCGGAAAAGUUCAGAAAUGUUCUCCCCGCAAGGUCGGUAUACAGGUGGUGCAUGGUUGUCGUCAGCUCGUGUCGUGAGAUGUUGGGUUAAGUCCCGCAACGAGCGCAACCCUCGUUCUAUGUUGCCAGCACGUAAUGGUGGGAACUCAUAGGAGACUGCCGGGGUCAACUCGGA